rnacentral:tRNA from 22 species
CGGAGUGUAGCGCAGCCUGGUAGCGCAUCUGGUUUGGGACCAGAGGGUCGGAGGUUCGAAUCCUCUCACUCCGACCA